rnacentral:pre_miRNA from 1 species
UCUUAUGGAUGAGCAAAGAAAAUGAUUUCAUGGGAUUGAAUUGACUCCUGGUGAAGAUGCUGUGAA